rnacentral:lncRNA from 1 species
CCAAAUGGCACACCACCUUCAGAUAUUACACCAUUGAGAGCAGCCACAAUGGUGUCACAGAAUUAAUGGAUGAUAGUUUGAAAACGUCUGCUUUUUGAAUGGACCAGAGUAAUUUUAUAAAUAUACUCAGUUUUAAAAAUAGUUUUAAGUACAUAUCAAAUUUUAAUAUGAAAUCAAAAGCAUAAGCAUUGAGAAAUAUAUUGUCUACUCAUCUGUUAAUGUAACAAAAAUGUAUAGAGAGCAUCUUGACUUCAUAUUCUUUGCUUUUACAUUAGUUUACAAAGAUGAUAUUUCUCAAGUUGUUGAACGUCUUUGAUCUUCUAUUUUGAUGACAUUUUUACCAUCAACUAUGAAACUGUUAUUCAGUUUUCUUAUGCUGUUACUAAUCAAACAACCUCAAGAAUUGAAAAG